CUAAGAAUAGGUUGACACUAAGAAUAGGUAGACACUAAGAAUAGGUUGAAUGGACCCAUCCCACCCUGUUCAGAAUGGCUUCAUACUUUAAAACUGAUGACAGGAUACACACCAAGAGGAUAUAAAAAGAUUUUGUGACUCACAUAAUGAGGCUUUCUGGGGAAUUUCCUGAUGGCCCAGUGGUAAGGACUCCAUGCUUCCACUGCAGAGGCCCCAGGCUCCAUCUCUGGUCACGGACAUGUGAUCCCACAAGCUGCCCUAGCCAAGAAGGAAAAAAAAAAAAAUGAAUCUGACUGUACAAACUGACUCAAACUACAGAGAUGGAGGGACAACCAGGCUUAGGCACUGGGAUGGAUAUUCUCCAGAACCAAGCUCCAAUCUUCCUUCUCUUUUUCAGAGAAAUUAAUCUUCUUGGGAAGGCUAAUAAUACUUUCACAUUUGACCAUGACAAAACCAUGUGCUCUCAAAAAUAGAAAGAGGUGAAGGAGUGAUGUAAAACAUUGGAAGUUGGAGACAAAGAAUAAAUCUAAAAUUAAAG
rnacentral:lncRNA from 1 species